rnacentral:sRNA from 1 species
UUAAGUUUCAAAUUUUAUAAUAUUGAAAUUUAUAAGAAAAUAAGAAAAUUAUGUUUAAUUUCACGGGACUGGGUUAUAUGGUAGGACGGGUUUGGGUGGAUAAUAAUUACGGUUGUACAAUGUCCCACAUCGCUUAAAAAAAUUGGACAAUGGUUCAGAGCCAUACUAUAAAAAGGACCAAAAUGAUUUCGAUUACGAAUGAGCAUGAAACUUGAUUUAUGAGGUGUCCAAAAUUAAAAUGGUUUGUUUACUAGGGUUAUUUAUUUUAAAAAAUUGAAACUUUUAAAAGUUUCAAAAAAUUAU